UACGUAGGGUGCAAGCGUUUGUCCGGAAUUAUUGGGCGUAAAGAGCUCGUAGGCGGUCUGUUGCGUCGGCUGUGAAAACCCGGGGCUCAACUCCGGGCCUGCAGCCGAUACGGGCAGGACUAGAGUUCGGCAGGGGAGACUGGAAUUCCUGGUGUAGCGGUGAAAUGCGCAGAUAUCAGGAGGAACACCGGUGGCGAAGGCGGGUCUCUGGGCCGAUACUGACGCUGAGGAGCGAAAGCGUGGGGAGCGAACAGG
rnacentral:rRNA from 1 species